rnacentral:rRNA from 1 species
GUCCUUUUGAUUUUUAUAUAAGGUCUGACCUGCCCUAUGAAUAUUUAAAUGGCCGCGGUAUACUAACCGUGCAAAGGUAGCAUAGUCAUUUGUCUCUUAAUUGGAGGCUUGAAUGAAGGGUUGGACGAGAUAUAAGCUUUCUUUGUUAUAUUUUAUUGAAUUUGACUUUUGAGUUAAAAGGCUUAAAUUUUUUUAUAGGACGAGAAGACCCUAUAGAAUUUUAUAUGUUUGUAUAAUUAAUUUAUUUAUUUAUUAUUUAAUUUCUUGUUUAAAUAUAUUUUGUUGGGGCGAUGGGAAGAUUUUAAUAACUCUUUUUUGUUUUGAUCAUUGAUUUAUGUUUUAUUCUGAUCCUUUUUUAGAGAUUAUAAGAUUAAAUUACCUUAGGGAUAACAGCGUAAUUCUUUUGGAGAGUUCUUAUCAAUAAAAGAGUUUGCGA